rnacentral:rRNA from 1 species
UACGUAGGGAGCAAGCGUUGUCCGGAAUCAUUGGGCGUAAAGCGCGUGUAGGCGGCCCGGUAAGUCCGCUGUGAAAGUCCAGGGCUCAACCCUGGGAUGCCGGUGGAUACUGUCGGGCUCGAGUCCGGAAGAGGAGUGUGGAAUUCCUGGUGUAGCGGUGAAAUGCGCAGAUAUCAGGAGGAACACCAAUGGCGAAGGCAGCACUCUGGGACGUGACUGACGCUGAGACGCGAAAGCGUGGGGAGCAAACAGG